AACGGGGGGGACAAGCGUUUAUUCGUCAGGACUGGGUGUAAAGGAUCUGUAGAUUGCCAUGAGACAGUUUGGAAACGAAACGCUUUAGGCUCAACCUUUUGAGGUUUCCUCAGAACAAACUCGUGUGCUUUGAGUUAUAUGGGAGGUUAAAAGUACUUUUAACUUGAAAGGUAGAAUUUGUCGACAGUUAUAAGGACUACCAUU
rnacentral:rRNA from 1 species